rnacentral:rRNA from 1 species
GAUGAACGCUGGCGGCGUGCCUAAUACAUGCAAGUCGAGCGAAUGGAUUAAGAGCUUGCUCUUAUGAAGUUAGCGGCGGACGGGUGAGUAACACGUGGGUAACCUGCCCAUAAGACUGGGAUAACUCCGGGAAACCGGGGCUAAUACCGGAUAACAUUUUGAACCGCAUGGUUCGAAAUUGAAAGGCGGCUUCGGCUGUCACUUAUGGAUGGACCCGCGUCGCAUUAGCUAGUUGGUGAGGUAACGGCUCACCAAGGCAACGAUGCGUAGCCGACCUGAGAGGGUGCUCGGCCACACUGGGCCUGAGACACGGCCCAGACUCCUACGGGGGGCAGCAGUAGGGAAUCUUCCGCAAUGGACGAAAGUCUGACGGAGCAACGCCGCGUGAGUGAGGAAGGCUUUCGGGUCGUAAAACUCUGUUGUUAGGGAAGAACAAGUGCUAGUUGAAUAAGCUGACACCUUGACGGUACCUAACCAGAAAGCCACGGCUAACUACGUGCCAGCAGCCGCCGUAA